rnacentral:rRNA from 1 species
UACGGGGGGUGCAAGCGUUGUUCGGAAUUAUUGGGCGUAAAGAGCGUGUAGGCGGCUUGAUAAGUCAGAUGUGAAAGCCCUGGGCUUAACCCAGGAAGUGCAUUUGAAACUAUCUUGCUAGAGUAAGGGAGGGGGAAGUGGAAUUCCUGGUGUAGAGGUGAAAUUCGUAGAUAUCAGGAGGAACACCGGUGGCGAAGGCGACUUCCUGGCCCUAUACUGACGCUGAGACGCGAGAGCGUGGGUAGCAAACAGG